UGUGACUACUGCUACUUCUGCGAUUUCUGUGACUCCUGCGAUUUCUGCGACUUACCACCGCAUGAAAAAGCUACAUCUGUCCACACAGAAAAUUGCAUCUCAACAAACCUGUCAUUGGUACCCGAACUACAUUUCAGUUACUCAGUAAAGUGAUAACUCAAAAUAUCAUUGUCAGCAGAUCUGGAGAAAUUGCCACUGCGUCUUUAGACCGUUUUCGUCAGACGAGAGACACAGUUCUGGUUGCUGUACGUAUCUAUCCACAUCAAGGCUGUAGGGAGAGACUCGUGAAGAUUCAAGAGAGCUCUUAGAGGAUUUGCAGUUUAAAAGUGACAUUAUUGCGAAAUAAGUGUGCAGAUGAGUGAUUAAACUGUGUUUUAUUGAAGUUGU